GAUGAACGCUGGCGGCGUGCCUAAUACAUGCAAGUCGAACGAACGGACGAGAAGUUUGCUUGUCUGAUGUUAGCGGCGGAGGGGAGAGUAACAUGUGGAUAAACUACCUAUCAGACUGGGAUAAUUUCGGGAAACAGGAGCUUAUACCGGAUGAUAUUUUGAACCGCAUUGUUCAAAAGUGAAAGUCGGUCUUGCUGUCACUUAUAGCUGGAUACGCGCUGCAUGAGCUGGUUGGUUAGGAACUGGCUUAUCAAGGCAACGAUGCAUAGCCGACCUGAAAGGGUGGUCGCACACACUGGAACAGAGACUGGGUCGAGACACCUGCGGUAGGCAGCAGUAGGGAAUCUUACGCAAUGGGGGAAAGCCUGACGGAGCAACGCGGCGUGAGGGAUGAAGGUGUUCGGAUCGGAAAGCUCUGUUAUUAGUGGAGAACAAAUGUUUAAUUAACUGUGCAGAUCUUGACGGUACCGAGUCAAAAAGCCACGGCUAACUACGUG
rnacentral:rRNA from 1 species